GGGUGAAUUAGUACAGUGAUAAAAAUUAUAGUUACGAUUCUAAAUCUUUCCGAGUUGAUAAAAACAUAACAAAGAAAUCGUAUCUAGAAAAUAUCGACUUGAAGUAAAUGAACAAUGCAAAGUGUAGCUAAAUAAUCAAAGUAAGUAGUAAAGAAAGAACUCACUAGAUUUAUAGUGGUUCGGUCGUUGUGACAUAUGUCCACUUCUGAUUCCUCCUCCGUCGGGGUCACGGGCGUC
rnacentral:lncRNA from 1 species